rnacentral:misc_RNA from 1 species
UCAUAUACAGUUGUACUAUCCAAGAUUCCCUUGGGAAAAGAAUGUAAUACUCUAGGAAGCUUAACAAACAAAAAGCCUCAGAUUCUAUUCGAAACUUGCUAAUUUGGAACCAGGAUCCAAGGGCCAUUAAGUAUGUGCAAACACAGCGCGAGGCAUACACUAACAGCAGUAGAUGAUUUCCCACUCACAUACCUGCAAGCUUCCGUGCUCUUAUCAACCACCUCCUCUUGUAUAACAUCUACACUUGUUCUCAGUGUCACCACUUCCUCCUGGACAACAUCUAUGCUUUUUCGCAUACACUCGUACAACUUUUCUAGCAGAAACUCCAAGA